rnacentral:rRNA from 1 species
AACGAACGCUGGCGGCAUGCCUAACACAUGCAAGUCGAACGAGACCUUCGGGUCUAGUGGCGCACGGGUGCGUAACGCGUGGGAACCUGCCCUUAGGUUCGGAAUAACUCCCCGAAAGGGGUGCUAAUACCGGAUAAUGUCUUCGGACCAAAGAUUUAUCGCCUUUGGAUGGGCCCGCGUUGGAUUAGCUAGUUGGUAGGGUAAAAGCCUACCAAGGCGACGAUCCAUAGCUGGUCUGAGAGGAUGAUCAGCCACACUGGGACUGAGACACGGCCCAGACUCCUACGGGAGGCAGCAGUGGGGAAUAUUGGACAAUGGGCGGAAGCCUGAUCCAGCAAUGCCGCGUGAGUGAUGAAGGCCUUAGGGUUGUAAAGCUCUUUUACCCGGGAUGAUAAUGACAGUACCGGGAGAAUAAGCGCCGGCUAACUCCGUG